GACGCCGGGGGGUUCCGGGGCUGGGAGGGGGCGGUCUGGCGCCGGGGGCGGCUGCUGGGCGCGGGCCGGGCCCUGCCGGGGAGCCCCAGCCCCGGGGGCCUCGCUGGGGACGGCCCUGCCCGGCCCCGGCCCUCUGCCCGCCGGGGCUGGCCGUGCAGCCCAAGGCCGGCCCUGCAUCGGUGUAGCUCCAGCCCAGGGAAAUUUCAGCUCCAGCCCUACAGUUUUUAUUUGAACUCCAGUUCUGUGGUCUUUGGGUUUGCUCCAGCCCCACAGCAGUGAUUUCGGCCCCAGGCCUAUGGUCCUUAGCCCAGCUCUGUGUGAUUUCAGCCUCAGCCCUUCUGGUCUGUAUUUCAGCUCCACUCCCAGCCCGACUGCAGUGAUUUCAGCUCCAGCCCUACAGUUUUUAUUCCAGCUCUGAGUGAUUUCAGUUCUGGCCCUACAGUAUUUAUUUCAGCUCCAGGUUCGGUGUUUCAGCUCCAGCCGCAGUCGUUCUUCAGCCCCAGCUCUGUCCUGGCUCAGCUCCAGCCCCACAGCAGUGAUUUCAGCUCCAGCCCUGCCAUCUUUAGUCCAGCUCUGGGUGAUUUCAGCUCAGGCCCUGUGGUUUUUAUUUCAGCUCUGAGUGAUUUCAGCCCCAGCCCUACAGUUUUGAUUUCAACUCCAGCUCCAGGUUUGGUAUUUCAGCUCCAGCCCCACAGCAGUGAUUUCAGCCCUGGCCCUACAGUUUUUAUUUCAGCUCUGAGUGAUUUCAGCUCUGGCCGUACAGUAUUUAUUUCAGCUCUGGCCCUGAAGGAUUUCUUUCAGCUCCAGCCCCAGGUUCAGUAUUUCAGCUGUUAGAUUUCAGCUCCGGCCCUACAGUUUUUAGUCCAGCUCUGUUAGAUUUCAGCCCCAGCUGUACAGUUUUUAUUUCAGCUUCAGGUUUGGUAUUUCAGCUCCAGCUGCAGUCAUUCUUCAGCCCGAGCCCCACAUCAGACAUUUCAGCCCCGGCACUACAGUUUUUAUUCCAGCUCUGAGUGAUUUCAGCUCCAGGUUUGGUGUUUCAGCUCCAGCUGCAGUCGUUCUUCAGCUCCAGCUCUGUCACAUCUCAGCCGCAGCCCCACAGCAGUGAUUUCAGCUCCAACCCUGCCAUCCUGAUUUCAUCUCCCACCCUACAGUAGCUAUUGAACCCCAGGAUUUCCACUCCAGGCCUGUGCUGUUUCCCCUCCCACCCCCCCCCACUCUUUAUUUCACCCCCCAGCCUCACAGACUUUCUUACGGCUCCAGCUCUGCGUUGUUUCAGCUUCAGCCCUGCAGUGUUUAGCUCAGCCUCAGCUCUACAUCUUCCUGUUGCCUCCGUGUUCUCACAGCAGCUCUGGGGGCUGUUGAUAAGGUAGUAAGUCAAUCACUGUCAUCACUCAACUAUCAAAACUGUCCCACUGUGUCUGUCCCCUGAAUAAAGUGUUCCUGUUGUGUGUGUCCCCAUUUCAGAGGGGAGUUUGGCCUGGUGCAUGCUGGCAUCCCAUGUUUCAGGGGCAAAUAAAACCAGACCCCCACCUCUGCUUGUUUUCAGGCCCAGAAACACAGCACUCUGGGGACUUUUGGAGCAGCUGAACCCCAGGACUGAGCUGGGCUGUUCAGCCCCAACCACAGAAC